GCCAAAACUAAAAAACUCUGGGAUUCCAUGAACACAUUAAUCCAAUCAGCACAACCAUACCCUCAUUAAUCUGAAGAAAUGAAGCCUCUAGAGUGUAUACUUUGGCUGCAAGGACAGAAGUUCCAUACUUUUUUAACCAGAUUUCUGCGAUGCCCCACACUCUAGCCCGCGAGGUCCCGCCUCUAGCAGACGCAAUACACACUCAUGUAAAAGUCAGAAACGGAGCGAAGAACUAGUGAAACAUAAUCAGUCAUUAUAAAAAAAGUACAAUAGAUAUGAAGAAGCAGUUUUUUUCAUAAAAUAGUUGAGACUUGUGUGAACAUUUGAGAGUUGAAAUGGUGUCUGUAGCUGAAAGAUUUGCGAAGCUGAAAAAUCUGAAAGUUGAAGAAGUUGAAGAGGAUUUAAACACGAUCUCCAUAGGAAAACCAUUAGACGAAAUAUUCAUGAUUACUGAUUUAUAUAAAUUCAAGCUUAAGAGGUAGAAAGCUGAACAUACAUAGCCCUCAAGCCAGAAAGGAGCUGAAUAUUUUAAUAUUUGAACGGUUUAAAUAGCUGAAAAUGUGAAGGAGUUGAAAGCGGGCGCGGAAGAAAUAGAAUAAUAAUAAGUUGAAAUAAAGAUUAGAAGAACAAUACUUGGAAUGCUUAAAGCAUUCCAACUAAUAAAGAUUCGAAGAACAAUACUUGGAAUGCAUCUCAAUGCAUUCCAACAACUAGAAAAUGCAUUUCCUGCUGAAAAUGCGUUGGAAUGCAAAAAGCUGAAAGCUGCACUGAAUAUUUGAAAAUAGCUGAAAAUACAGAAAGUUGAAGGGAAUUUGAAUACAUUUGCUGAAAAGAUUAGAAAAGCUGAAAUGAAUUUGAAAUUGCUGAAAAUACAGAAAUGGGAGAAGCUGAAAGGAAUUUCAAUAGAUUUGCUGAAAAAGCAGAAAUGAAAACAGCUGAAAUAAAUUUGAAAUAUUGCAAAAAAAUACAGAAAUGAAUAGUGAAAAAUUGCUGUUGAUAGAGGCAUAAGAAUAGCUGAAAUUAUUUUAAAGAACUGCUGAAAAUACAGGAAGUGGGGAAGCUGAAUUUCAAUAGAUUUUCUAAAAACAGAAGUUGCAGGAGCUUAAAUUUGUUUAAAAUUGUUUGUAGUAAUAUUAGUAGUAGUAUUAGUUAUAAUUGUGGUAUUAGUAGUACUAGCAGUAUAAGCAGUAAUAGUAGGUUUAGUAUCAAUAGCAGUAGAAACAGCUGUAAUACUAUUAGCCAUAGUCGUAUUUGUAAUAACAUUAGUAGUAGUUGUAGUAUUAAUAGCAGUAGAAAUACUAGUAGUAUGGUAGUAGAAGUAUCAGUUGUAGUACUAGAAGUACGAGUAAUAUUCGUAGUGGGAGACAGAAUGUUUGUUAUUCAAACUAAGAAGUUUUUAAUUAAUAGGCCUCAUCACAAACAUUACAGUAAAAAUUCCCUCCAUGUGGCUUUUAUUUUGAAAUUAUUGGAUUGGG
ensembl:lncRNA